AUUCGUUCAUUUAUGUUUCAUCUUCCAUAUUGCCUGUCAGGUAAUAUACACCAGAGAUACAGACUAAAUAAGCUACAACCUGUCCUCAAGUUGUUCAGAGUCUAGUGGAGAAAGAUAAAUAAGCAUAUGAUAGCUGCUGUACUAGAGGAAUGACUGUACCAAGCACCCCAGGGGAGACCACACAGGAGAGAGCCACAGACUCUGAGGGAACUGGGGAAGUUAAUUUUCGUUAAGGUGUAAGGAGGGGAUCCAGUUUCAGCUUUCUACAUAUGG
rnacentral:lncRNA from 1 species